UACAAAAACUCUCAGCUAAUAACAUACUUAGUGGUGAUAGACUGGAUGUUUUCCUCCUAAGAUCAGGAACUAGAGAAGAAUGUCUAAUCUCACCACCUCUAUUCAACAUUGUCCUGGAAGCUCCAUCGAUGGCAAUUGGGCAAGACAAUGAAAUAAAAUGUAUUCAGAUUGGAAAGGAAGAACUAAAACUUUAUUGGCAGAUGACAUAGUCAUGGAUUUCGUGUACAUAGAAUAUUAUGGUCAUGUACAUAGAAAACCCUAAGGAAUCCAGCCCUCCCUCCUCAGCCUUCCCCGCGAGCGGACGCGGCAGCGCCUCUGUCUCGCUUUUUCUUAUUUUUCCCCCCUUUUCCCCUUUCUUCUUCUUCUUUUUUUUUUUUCUUUUCUUUUCCCCCCUCCUCCCCUUUCACCAUUUCCUCUCGGAGGCGCUUUCCCCGGGCAGGGACAGAGCCGGUCUCACCCCCCCACGCCUCUCCCCGGCCCCUGCCGCCCUAUGGCGAGAGGGAGCCCCCUCCCCACCCGGGCUCGAGCGGCGGCGGCCUCAGGCCGGGGUCAUCAUGGAACUAAUUCGCUGACCGACCGCGCCCCUCGACCCGCUUCCCCCUCUUCUCCCUCCUCAAUGGGCCCCGUAGUCCUGCGCGCACCGCCGCCGCGCGCGGAUGAGAAUGAGGUGGUAACGGGCUCCCGGAUGACCUCGCGUCACCACUGUGAGGCCUACAGCUCAGCCGGGGAGGAGGAGGAGGAAGAGGAGGAGAAGUAG